CUGCCCCAUACAGGGGGAUAACAGCCGGAAACGGCUGCUAAUACCGCAUGCACAUGCGGGGGCGCAUGCCCCUGGAUGGAAAGCUUUCGCGGUAUGGGAUGGGCCCGCGUCUGAUUAGGCAGUUGGCGGGGUAACGGCCCACCAAACCGACGAUCAGUAGCCGGCCUGAGAGGGCAACCGGCCACAUUGGGACUGAGACACGGCCCAAACUCUUACGGGAGGCAGCAGUGGGGAAUAUUGCACAAUGGGGGGAACCCUGAUGCAGCGACGCCGCGUGGGUGAAGGAGUAUUUCGGUAUGUAAAGCCCUAUCAGCAGGGAAGAACAAUGACGGUACCUGACUAAGAAGCACCGGCUAAAUACGUGCCAGCAGCCGCGGUAAUACGUAUGGUGCAAGCGUUAUCCGGAUUUACUGGGUGUAAAGGGAGCGCAGGCGGCGCGUUAAGCCUGGUGUGAAAGCCCGCGGCCCAACCGCGGGACUGCAUUGGGAACUGGCGCGCUGGAGUGCCGGAGGGGUAGGCGGAAUUCCUAGUGUAGCGGUGAAAUGCGUAGAUAUUAGGAGGAACACCAGUGGCGAAGGCGGCCUACUGGACGGUGACUGACGCUGAGGCUCGAAAGCGUGGGGAGCAAACAGGAUUAGAUACCCUGGUAGUCCACGCCGUAAACGAUGA
rnacentral:rRNA from 1 species